rnacentral:tmRNA from 1 species
GGGGGCGAACAAGACUCGACGCGGGCUGGUGCGGGUAGCGUGCUGCAAGCCGAGCCCCCCGUGACUCGUUAAUCCGCGGGGAACAAGUAAAGGCCAACGAGAGCUACGCUCUAGCCGCCUAGCGCGGCUACGUCCUCCGGACCUCGGCCCGUAGGGUCCGAGCAGGGCGUCACAGAUGCGGGCUCCACCCGGCGGCGGCGCCCGGGACCGCCGGGGACACCGACGGGCUGGCCGCUCCGGGCCGUGCCUUCGAGGGCCCGGUAAGGCGAGACAAGAUCUCGGAGGCUAAGCUUGUAGACGCCGCUAUCGGUGCGCUCGCGGACGCCGGUGCAAUUCCGGCCGCCUCCACCA